rnacentral:lncRNA from 1 species
AAAUAGCAAUUUUGUUUAACGAUUAGAAAGAGAUCCGAAAUUACCAUUCUUAUCAAUCAUCCUUACAUAUAAGAUCCUAUAAAAUUUCCUGCUUAGGCUACAUUUUAAAUGUUUUUGUCAUCAAUUUAAAAAAGCAAUCGUGUAGCAUUGCAUGCUCUUCUCGCGUCUAUCGGUAGAAUCAAUUCGAAUUUAUUCAUCCACGAGAGAAGUCACGCAGCAUAUUGUUCCUCAUCCAAACGACAAUCUAUUUUAUAAAAAUGUUGAUGUUUCUACAUUGUUAAAGGCAAAUUCGUUUGAGAAAUAUUAAAUUUCUCUUUACGCUGUACGAUAUUUGUUUGUAUAGACUUCUGUUCACUCAGGCAUUCUGUAGUUUUUUUAUUUAUUUCAAAAACGAUGUUUUCAUUCUUCUUCCAUUUUUGAUACUUUUAGAGCAUCACACGACGUUUCUACAAUCAAGAUCUUCUUCUAUGAUGUAUUCGCUCAGUUAGCUUUGCGUCGGUGGAAAACAAAGAGAAGCAUAACAACAGUUUUCGCUUUAUUUCACCUCCAGUUCGGCCCCCGACUGUGUACCAGCUCGCAUGUUGUUCCUAUAAACAAAUAAAGAGGGCGAGUGAAAGUCUUGAGGGCUGAGCGUUUUGUGGGGCCGACUGAAUAAAAUUGGCCUGAGUCACGCGUCAUCUUUUUAUGGAAACAAACAUAUCAGUCGCGUAUACCAUGAAAUAAAUGAAAGGUGGAGAUCCGAGGCAAGUAAGGGGAAGAGUGAAGCAUGAGGAUGAAAAGUAAAUCCUUUUUCGUGGCAAGACAUUGAAUUACGGCUCACUAUGGAAGCAGGCAGAGAGAGGCAGUACAAGAGUUCUUACGUUGGAGGACCAAGAGGACAUGAAGAACGAAUAAGCCAAGCGGAAGAAGGAUUACUAGAAGUAGUAAUGGCAGCAGAAAUACAAGUGAAAUCAAAAAAGUAUAGCAAAACGUAUAUGAGAGAAUAGAAUGAAGAAAGAGGCUUCUUGGGAGGAAAAUUUAAGAAAUGUAUUAUGUUCUUAAGAAUACUCGAUGAUAGAGCAAAUGUAUUCUUUUGCUAUAUACAAGAAGAGUUCAAUUUUCGUCUGCUAGAAAGAGAAUAUAUCGAAAAACACUGGAAUGAAAAGGAGAAAUAAGUCAUCUGAUGGUUGAGAAAUGUUCGAGGUCAAAUUAGACUUUUCUCACUUCAACACCGAUUCCACUGCGGGACUAUUUGUUACGAACGUUUUGAUCUUUAAUGACGUUGGAUUUGGAUACUCUGUUAUGCGGUCCUUGCCCAAGGCAGUGUCAACAAUGUCUCCCCAGCGAUUUGGCUCCUCUUUGAUUCGGCGUGCUUCGACUAGCUCUUUCUGCUCACGCCAGAGCUGGCCUUAUAUACCCGAGAAUCGGUGAAGCCAGAGAUAGCAAUUUCGAUGGGUUUCCACCCGUGUGCCUCUUCAGGACUGUAUGCAUAAUUUGAACGGGGUUCACCACAUUUUCCUUGCACUCGCGGUUGGGAUAAUACGGAGCUCAAGAGACCGCUUCGAAAGAUCACACGAUGUCCUUCCUGUUCAUGUAUAAUGAUAAUUCGAUGCAGACGCCAUUCCAAAUAUCGC